CCUCAGAUCAGGUAGGAAUACCCGCUGAACUUAA
rnacentral:rRNA from 2 species